CGUUUCCUGCACGCUGUGCGAUCUUUUCCCUUCUGGGGACGCUGCAGUGCCACAGAUCUACUUGAACUACUCUGGGAGACCAAAUUUCAAAGAAUGUGCCGAAGCUGCGGCAGUUUCCCAAUUGGGAGAGAGGAAGUGAUGUUGCCAGGUAGCUGAUGUCAACCAACCAAUAGCAGACAACCAAUGGAUUGGGAGGGAAGAAGAGAUGUUUCCAGGAAGCUGAUGUCAACCAACCAAUAGCGGACAACCAAUUGGUUUGAUUCCAGCAGAAUGGUUAAUCGCCACGGUUCAUGACUACAAGGAUUCCAGCGAAGGGUUCGAAGCUGAUAUGGACAUUGUCUCCAGCCCAUGAAGCUACAUCAGGUUGAAUGGAUGGCAGAAUUAUGUGCCAACGAUGGGCACAUUCCUGUGAAUGCACAGACCUGUCGCUCUGGCUGAUGUUUAUGCCGUGUCAGAAGAGUUGUGGUGACCGGUCUGGAGCACAACGUUGAAAUGUCAAGCUUUGUACUAUUGUGUAUCAUUACUUCAACACUUGUUUCACUGUCAUUUGUAUAUCAUUCUAAGAACAGUUUGAGAAAGUAACUGCUUUUGUGUUUCCUAAUAAAAAAGAAUUUGUGUGUAAAAUGUA